UUACUGAUGAUGGUGUAAUCUGUCUCGUGGAGCCUUCUGCCAUAACACACCUCCAUACUGUUGAUGAUGUUGAAGACACCUUAUCAGCUGCCACAGAGAGGGAAGUAAUAACUUUGGUUUCAGUUAAUUGUUCCACAAUACAACUUGCAACUGCUUUCUCUCUAACAGAGCAAUGCCGGAAGUUACAAUGAGGAAGAAGGUCCAUCAACCUCCACAGCACAACUUACAAUGACACUAAGUAGACAUGGCACUGUGAAAUUCAACGUCAUUUAUGUUCCUAUAGCUCCCUGUGAAACAACUUUACAAAGUAUAUUUAGAAUCCCAAAUAAACAAAUCACACCUAGAAAUGGAGCACAUAAGGCUGCAGAUCACCAAAACAAAAAAGGAAAUACAACUGCUGGACCAUCAGUUAAAGGAAAUAAAGAAGACCCCAUAAAAUGAGGCAUAUUGUCGUUCUUUGACACUGGGGAGGUGAUGGGUCAGUUAGAAAUGAUUGAAGCGUAUCAUCACUCUAACAGCUCUUCCAUCUCGUGCAUCAGCAGGGGGGUCAGGAUUAUUAUCUGGAUCAUUGGGGGAAAGAGUAGGACAUUGUUCU
ensembl:lncRNA